rnacentral:rRNA from 1 species
UACGUAGGGUGCGAGCGUUAAUCGGAAUUACUGGGCGUAAAGCGUGCGCAGGCGGUUCGUUAAGUCAGAUGUGAAAGCCCCGGGCUCAACCUGGGAACUGCAUUUGAAACUGGCGGGCUUGAGUAUGGCAGAGGGGGGUGGAAUUCCGCGUGUAGCAGUGAAAUGCGUAGAGAUGCGGAGGAACACCGAUGGCGAAGGCAGCCUCCUGGGCCAGCACUGACGCUCAUGCACGAAAGCGUGGGGAGCGAUCCGG